rnacentral:tRNA from 3 species
GCCGACUUAGCUCAGCUGGUAGAGCAUCUGUCUUGUAAACAGAAGGUCACGAGUUCGAACCUCGUAGUCGGCU